UAGGGGACAGUAUAAGAGGAUGUACAAAGGGUUUUGAUCUCUUAAGUGCGGGUUCGAAUCCCCCUCCCUUAA
rnacentral:tRNA from 1 species